GCCUUCAUAGUGCAGUAGUAAGCACGCUCGACGCGUAUUCAAGAGGUCCGAGGUUCGAGUCCCGGCUAGGGCA
rnacentral:tRNA from 1 species